rnacentral:rRNA from 1 species
AAUCCAUAGGUUAAUGAGGCGAACCGGGGGAACUGAAACAUCUAAGUACCCCGAGGAAAAGAAAUCAACCGAGAUUCCCCCAGUAGCGGCGAGCGAACGGGGAGGAGCCCAGAGCCUGAAUCAGCAUGUGUGUUAGUGGAAGCGUCUGGAAAGGCGCGCGAUACAGGGUGACAGCCCCGUACACAAAAGCGCAUGUGCUGUGAGCUCGAUGAGUAGGGCGGGACACGUGGUAUCCUGUCUGAAUAUGGGGGGACCAUCCUCCAAGGCUAAAUACUCCUGACUGACCGAUAGUGAACCAGUACCGUGAGGGAAAGGCGAAAAGAACCCCGGCGAGGGGAGUGAAAAAGAACCUGAAACCGUGUACGUACAAGCAGUGGGAGCCCCACCACUAAGCCAGUGGUGAACUCCACAUACGCAUCCUUUGCUGAGGAUACGGUUAACGGAGCGAAAGCGACGUUCAACCUCAAAAGAAGCAGAGGGGGCUUAGU